AUCGAACGCUGGCGGCAGGCCUAACACAUGCAAGUCGAGCGGAGCGGCGGACGGGCGAGUAAUGAUUAGGCAACUGCCUGGUAGUGGGGGAUACAGCACGGACACGGGCGGUAAUACAGCACCCUAUCAGAUGUGCCUAGGUCGGAUCAGCUCGUUGGUGGGGUAAAGGCCUACCAAGGCGACGAUCCGUAACUAGUCUGCGAGGAUGAUCAGUCACACUGGAACGUAGACACGGUCCAGACUCCUACGGAAGGCAGCAGUAGGGAAUAUUGGACAAUGGGCGAAAGCCUGAUCCAGCCAUGCCGCGUGUGUGAAGAAGGUCUUCGGAUUGUAAAGCACUUUAAGUUGAGAGGCGUUACCAACAGAAUAAGCACCGGCUAACUUCGUGCCAGCAGCCGCGGUAAUAC
rnacentral:rRNA from 1 species